CGAACCGCCCGGCUUGGGAGAGCCAAACGGUUCGCACGAGCCCCGGCGGUCUUGGGAGAGGCAGCCGCGGUUCUUCAGGGGAGAACUGCCGAUGGAGAAUACUCUUCUCGUCGCGCUAUCGCGCCAGAUGUCGCUUG
rfam:Afipia sp. Root123D2 contig_1, whole genome shotgun sequence.